rnacentral:rRNA from 1 species
CAGCAGCCACGGUAAUACAGAGGGUGCGAGCGUUAAUCGGAUUUACUGGGCGUAAAGCGUGCGUAGGCGGCUUUUUAAGUCGGAUGUGAAAUCCCUGAGCUUAACUUAGGAAUUGCAUUCGAUACUGGGAAGCUAGAGUAUGGGAGAGGAUGGUAGAAUUCCAGGUGUAGCGGUGAAAUGCGUAGAGAUCUGGAGGAAUACCGAUGGCGAAGGCAGCCAUCUGGCCUAAUACUGACGCUGAGGUACGAAAGCAUGGGGAGCAAACAGGAUUAGAUACCCGCGUAGUCCCUGUCUCUUAUAA